rnacentral:rRNA from 1 species
UGGGGAAUAUUACGCAAUGGGGGCAACCCUGACGCAGCCAUGCCGCGUGAAUGAAGAAGGCCUUCGGGUUGUAAAGUUCUUUCGGUAUUGAGGAAGGUUGAUGUGUUAAUAGCACAUCAAAUUGACGUUAAAUACAGAAGAAGCACCGGCUAACUCCGUGCCAGCAGCCGCGGUAAUACGGAGGGUGCGAGCGUUAAUCGGAAUAACUGGGCGUAAAGGGCACGCAGGCGGUUAUUUAAGUGAGGUGUGAAAGCCCCGGGCUUAACCUGGGAAUUGCAUUUCAGACUGGGUAACUAGAGUACUUUAGGGAGGGGUAGAAUUCCACGUGUAGCGGUGAAAUGCGUAGAGAUGUGGAGGAAUACCGAAGGCGAAGGCAGCCCCUUGGGAAUGUACUGACGCUCAUGUGCGAAAGCGUGGGGAGCAAACAGGAUUAGAUACCCUGGUAGUCCACGCUGUAAACGCUGUCGAUUUGGGGGUUGGGGUUUAACUCUGGCGCCCGUAGCUAACGUGAUAAAUCGACCGCCUGGGGAGUACGGCCGCAAGGUUA